rnacentral:rRNA from 1 species
UAACCUGCCCCUGCGCGGGGGAUAACAGGAGGAAACUCCUGCUAAUACCGCAUAGCCAUGAGCACCGCAUGGAGCUCAUGCCAAAUAUCCUUUCGGGGACAGCGCAGGGAUGGACCUAUGGCGCAUUAGCUAGUUGGCGGGGCAACGGCCCACCAAGGCAACGAUGCGUAGCCGGCCUGAGAGGGCGGACGGCCACAUUGGGACUGAGACACGGCCCAGACUCCUACGGGAGGCAGCAGUAGGGAAUUUUCGGCAAUGGGGGAAACCCUGACCGAGCAACGCCGCGUGAGCGAAGAAGGCCUUCGGGUCGUAAAGCUCUGUUGUAAAGGAAGAACGGCGCAUACAGGAAAUGGUAUGCGAGUGACGGUACUUUACCAGAAAGCCACGGCUAACUACGUGCCAGCAGCCGCGGUAAUACGUAGGUGGCGAGCGUUAUCCGGAAUCAUUGGGCGUAAAGAGGGAGCAGGCGGCCGCAAGGGUCUGUGGUGAAAGACCGAAGCUAAACUUCGGUAAGCCAUGGAAACCGGGCGGCUAGAGUGCGGAAGAGGAUCGUGGAAUUCCAUGUGUAGCGGUGAAAUGCGUAGAUAUAUGGAGGAACACCAGUGGCGAAGGCGACGGUCUGGGCCGCAACUGACGCU